rnacentral:tRNA from 1 species
GCGGGUGUCGUAUAACGGCUAUUACAUGGCCUUCCCAAGGCCGGAAUCAGAGUUCGACUCUCUGCACCCGCACCA